AUGUGUGUCUGUAUAAAUUUCUUCCAUUCUGUUAAUAUGAGUAUUUUGUGUUAGCCACUGUGGCUAACUCUCACAAAAUGGCGCCAUGUUUGCCCAUUUGGCUACCUUCUCUUCUGAGGCAAUAUCUUUUGUGAGCCUCCUCUUC